AACGAACGCUGGCGGCAUGCCUAACACAUGCAGGUCGAACGAGACCUUCGGGUCUAGUGGCGAACGGGUGCGUAACGCGUGGGAACCUGCCCUUAGGUUCGGAAUAACUCCCCGAAAGGGGUGCUAAUACCGGAUAAUGUCUGCGGACCAAAGAUUUAUCGCCUUUGGAUGGGCCCGCGUUGGAUUAGCUAGUUGGUAGGGUAAAAGCCUACCAAGGCGACGAUCCAUAGCUGGUCUGAGAGGAUGAUCAGCCACACUGGGACUGAGACACGGCCCAGACUCCUACGGGAGGCAGCAGUGGGGAAUAUUGGACAAUGGGCGAAAGCCUGAUCCAGCAAUGCCGCGUGAGUGAUGAAGGCCUUAGGGUUGUAAAGCUCUUUUACCCGGGAUGAUAAUGACAGUACCGGGAGAAUAAGCUCCGGCUAACUCCGUG
rnacentral:rRNA from 1 species